rnacentral:lncRNA from 1 species
AGAGGAUGGCCGAGGUUUUCACAACAGAUCGAGCGAUUCCCUGUCAGGGGACAGUGGGGCCGCUGCGGCUGAGCUGGAAGCCCGGCUCCUGACUCGGGCAGGUGCUGGACACCCAACGCCAGCCGCCGGGGUCUGCACUGCAAAUGCCGCCAUCGCUCUCACGUUCGAGGCACAGGCCCGUGGACCUGCACGAGAACCGUUAGGGUAGAACGCGGCGCCGAAAGGGAAGCAGCUUCACGCGCACCUUGUAACGCGGAGCCAGACUCCGCUGCAGGCGGUCCCCACGGAGCGAGGCUGGGAGAUCCUGCCCCUCGGUCCCCAAGGGGGACGCGAGCAAACGGCCAAGGCGCGAACGCUGGAAGGCCGGGGGCACAGGGUGGCGUGUGGAAAGGACAUCCUGCUCAACCUUGGAGUGUGGCGUGGGCCUGGGUGGAGGCGGGACAGUGCCCCGACGGAGCCACUCUGGGGUGUCCUCCCUCAGAGAGCUGUAAAGACUGAAGUGAUUCUAGACUUCACACUUUUCAAAGCCUCCAAUUAGCCAAGACUGAAUUUUAUCAGUAUUAAAAACAUGGAUAUUCUAUAUGAAUAAAAACUUCUAUCUAAGUAGCCUUGUCUAGUGUUGGGGUUUCAUGAGAUUGUUGAUGUCCAAAAGGCCUGGAGAGCAACAGAAAUCACGAAAGUGCAAUGGGACUCGAGAGCACCGGACGUCAGUGGUGCCCAUCAGGACUGGAGAACUUCAGAGAUCACUGAUCUCCAACAGUGGAGAGCACAAAGAUCACUGAUGUCGAACACUGGAGAGACCAGAGAUUACUGAUGUCCAACACCGGAGAGACCAGAGAUUACUGAUGUCCAACACUGGAGAGACCAGAGAUUACUGAUGUCCAACACCGGAGAGACCAGAGAUUACUGAUGUCCAACACCGGAGAGACCAGAGAUUACUGAUGUCCAACACCGGAGAGACCAGAGAUUACUGAUGUCCAACACCGGAGAGACCAGAGAUCACUG